UCGGAUCACAAUGUUCUUCUAUAAUUUAGAAAUAACUUUUUUGUUGCAUAGAUAGAUAAACAUACUAUCUCAGCUUGGUUUCUAUCUUGAUCAUGUUGUCACCUUCGAAUCUAUCUCAAUCUGUCCCACAGGAUUGUCAAGGAUGCCCUCACAGCAGCCACACUUCGGUUAGUCAAGUGUGACCCUGCAGUUCUGCUCCUAAAUCAGAGAAAAUCAUGGCAACAAGGCCUCGAAGAGUAAGGAACUUGAACCUCCUAGAAGUAGAAGAUGUAAAACCUGCUGAGGAUGAGCAUGACAAUUCAGCGGAGAAUGAGAACAAUGAAAAUUUACAGUGUCCUCUUGAUAUUGAUGGUUUAUUAGCUCGCAUGCCACGCUACCAUCCUCGAAGUCCAAUUAAGAUAAUAUGGCCAAAUGGAGAGGUGCGGCAAGUUUUAGGUGAUUUCACAAUUUCAAAUCUAUUGGAAUUAGAAGGAGGAAAGGUAAUUGUAGGGACUGAUGAAAAUGGAGUCCCAAAUGAAAGGUCAGCCUCCAUAUGAU